rnacentral:misc_RNA from 1 species
AAUCAUUUAGAUAAUAAUCAUACUAUAAAAUGAAAUGUUUAUACGGUGGAAAUUGAUUAUAAUAUACGAUAUAAUUAUUGUGACACUUUUAUAUUUCAAUACAAUAUGUGCAACAGGCGUAAGAAAUCCAAUGAAAUUUGCUGGCGUAGUAGAAAAUAUUACAGUGUACGUUUUGGAAGAUACAAAUUAUUUCCAAAGUGACAGUGUACAGAAAUCAUUGAAAAUGAAUGUGUCUUGGAUGCCACCGAGUGAAGGAAAACAACCUUCUUCGUACAGCAUUAUGAUUACAAGUGUCUCGAAAGAAACUGACAGAAAUGAGACGGAAUGUACGGAAGACUCUGCGUUAUACACUACACAAAACAAAAGUACAUUUAGCAUAAUAAUACCACAAAAUCACUUAUACGGCAUACCAAAGUUACAAAUACGUCCAAAUUGUACGUACAAGAUACACGUUUAUGCCAAUCCGAGAGCUCCCGCAAGAAAGCUACCAGAGGUUAUCUACAACGUUCCAGAAUGCAUAGGACGUAAAUGCAAUUGCGCGUAUGCAACAUCUAUUUUGCCCAUUCCAGAAGUAGAAGUAAUCCAAAGAAAAAAAAGCGUUAUUAUCAACUGGAAAAUUACAUCAAAUAGUUCUCAUAUUCAUUCUUACAUAAUUAGUAUUGGCAUACCAUUGAUGAUAUCGCAAGCAGGGCAUUCUGUAUAUAAUAUCACAAAGAUAAGUAACGUGACCUCUACAAUAAAUACUUUUAAUUGGGAUAUGAGAAUUAACGAUCGGUAUACAAAAAUGAAAAGUGGAUACAAGGUAUUAGUAGCAGCAAUGGAUCAUCAAGGUUGCUUAGGAAAUCAAGGUGGCUUCAUUGUUAAUGAUACAAACAAAACUAAAAUAUUGGAUGGGAGCACCAUGUGGUUAUUACUUGUCGGCAUCAUCAUUUGUAUUAUAUUAAGCUUUAUCUGCAUUAUAUCAAUAUAUAAUAAAAAUGGAUAUCAUCUUGUAUCAGUUAGACGAAGACGAACAGUGUCUGAUCUUUCCGCUUGCAAGUUAGCUCAAUGGCCAGAUCUAGUUUUCCAAAGACGCAACACUGAUGUAUAUGUUGAUCAAAAAUCCGAGGAGACACAUUGCAAGCCACAGAAGGACGCAUUUGAAAUGCCAUAUAAAUGUAUAAAUCUGACAUGUGAAUUAGGAAAAGGGCAGUUCGGUAAAGUAUAUCUAGGCACCGUGAACAAUGAAAGCACGUUAGUAGCCGUUAAAAUGUCUCAAUGUUUUGACGCGUGCAACGAACCAGAAGUUAGACGUCAAUUAUUAGAAGAAAUCAAGAUAAUGAAAAUGGCUGGUCCACAUAAGCAUUUAGUGAACCUCAUAGGUUGUUGUACUUCACCGAACAAUCCUAUAUGUAUAAUUUUGGAAUACAUGGAGGGUGGAGAUUUGCUUGAGUAUCUACAUUAUAGAAGAAAAAUACAAACGGACGACACGUCUUUGUGCAAUUUUGAAAAAAUUGCAUCCAGAUACGCAAAUAUUUUUGAGAAAAACAAAAACAAUGAUGAAAAUGUAUACGACGUAAUCGAAAGACAACAAUUUAUAAAAUUUGCACUCGACAUCGUAAAAGGAAUGGAACAUUUAGAAGCUAAAAACAUCAUACAUCGAGAUUUGGCGGCAAGAAACAUCCUUCUCACCUCAAAUCUAACGCUAAAGAUCUCUGAUUUUGGUCUGUCACGAAAUGGAGUGUACGUGAUAAAUAAUAUAUCUGGCAAAACUCGUCAACUCCCAAUACGUUGGAUGUCACCGGAAGCUAUACGCGAUCAUGUUUUCUCUUCUAAAAGCGAUGUUUGGUCAUUCGGUGUUGUGCUCUGGGAAAUUGGAACUCUAGGUUUUUUUCCAUAUGCUAAUAUACAGGACAAUGAAUUAUUACAUUAUUUAACUCAGGAAAAAUGUCACCUGGAAUGUCCCAAAACGAUUUCUCAUGAUAUAUAUAACAUUAUGUGCUCCUGUUGGAACACUAUACCGCAUGAUAGACCCAGUUUCACACAACUUGCUUUAGACCUGCAGAUAUUAAACAAACCUCUAUGUUCUAUGUACGAGGCAAAUAAUCCUUGUUACGCACUCUUAUCACAUUAAUAUAUCGUAGAAUCAAUAAAUAAGAUAUUUUAUAUAUAUGAAUUACUGGGCAAAAUUAGAAGAACAAAAGUUUGAAAUAACACCAACUUCAUAAAAGUUGAACAAAAAAUCUGAAUUGUUAAUAUGAUUGACCCUUACAAAGUCUCCCCACUAUGGAUCCAGUUCGGAAUUAUGCCCCUUGAAGCAACCCCCUGUCAAAAACAGAAGUUGCAAGAUUGUAGUUUAAAAAGUACAGGGCAAUCUAAUGCAAAAAAAAAUGGCUUGGAAAAAUUCGGAAAUGGGCCCAACCACACCCGCAAAGGUCUCUGGCACUCCUUCUUAACCACGAAACUCACCCCUUUCAACCUUUGUCACUUCUUUGGUCGGACAGCAAAAACAGUGAAUCGCGAUUACACCAGCCUACUUAGUGGUUGCUUCAUAGCACGAAUUGCAUUUGAGACAAAAAAAUCAUUGUUCUCUCUCCGCCAUCUGGUUCAGCCAUGGCUUCAGCUAAUACCGAGGGGACUUCCGAAAAGUCAGAGGUAGAGUGGACGACUAGGUGAGGGUUUUAGUGGGCAGGCUACACCGGCACCAGUUAAGACUGGGAGUCGGUGUAGAAUCACACACUACCCGGGAGUACGGGCUCCCGGGUGUCUUUUGAAGAUUUCCCUCAUCCGCGCAAAACAAAAAAAAAAAGGUUGGUGGAUGUUCGUACCCAAUUUUUAUUUUAUAUUCGUACUGCUCGGAAGUUAAUAACGUUUCGACAUCAGUUAGUGUCGAUACUUAAGACUUUAAAUUAAAUUAUAGUCGGUGCUCCGAGUUGAUCUCUUUAUCUGCUAAAUUAGGAGAUGAAAUCAAAUUCGCGUUGGGCAACAAAAUUACUCUGGUAAGUCAUUCUAGGAUUAAUAAUAAAUUAUCGGCAUCAUAUAUUGUUUAUGGUCAUUAGAAAGCUUGUAAUUCAGAUUUUUAUAAUCCAGUUUUUGUUCAUAUGUCCAGUAAUUAUUAGAAGAAAGGUUUAUAUUUCCAGUAAGAAAUUAAACAACUCCCAUAUAAGCUAUACUAAAACUUCGAAACUUUUUCUACCAUAUGUAUGGUAGAAAGCUUAUUUCAUAUUUCACAAGAAUGUGUAUUGACACUUGAAUAAUUCCCGUAAGUAAGAGGUAAACCUGCAGUACUUUAUUAUGUGCAUAAACCAUGUUAAAGGGGGAACCUCAUGUAAAUCGAAAUUUUUUAGCAAUUUUUUUCUUGCUUAAAUUUAUAGGAAAUUUUCCGUACAAUAAAAAAAAAGUAGAAACCGAUUUGAGACUUUCUUCUAUGUUAUUUUCGUCGAAAAGUGAACAGUGGGCGGAGCACUCAAGUAGACGAAUCGGGAACUCAGCCUUUUGAUCCCUCUGUAACAAAUAUUAACCUGGCUGUGUUAAAGUAAUGUUCGAGGAACAAGAAGAUCUGCUCUAUGGCCCUGGAAUCGCAGAUUAGCAAAAGAUUGCGAUCAUUUUUGUGACCUGUACGCUGCACGGCACAUUUUCCAGACGCCAUUUUCAAGCCGCCAUUGCACCGUUAUUAUAAACAAUUAAAGUUUGAAAAAAAAAUAUUUUUUACAUUGUAAUGUCCAUAAAUUGUACUUUAAAUUUCAAAUCAAUCUACGCGUUAUUUUUCAAAAAAAUUCUUGAAAAACAGGCUGUUUACAUGAGGUUCUCCUGUUAAGUAAGUCUUACGUCUGCUCAUAGCUAGACUUAAGACGAUCUAUGAAUUCAAUCCAAAAUGACAAAAAUAAAUUGUGAUUAAAAAUUAU